UCGAGCGUCAUUACAACCCUCAAGCUCUGCUUGGAAAUGGGCUCCGCGGCUUACCCCGCGGGCCUUAAUAUCAGUGGCGGCGUCUUCAGGCUCUGAACGUAGUAAAUGUUCCUCGUUACGGAGUCCUGGCGGCGGUGGUCAUCAACCCCCAACUUUCUAAGUUUGACCUCGGAUCAGGUAGGGAUACCCGCUGAACUUAA
rnacentral:misc_RNA from 1 species